rnacentral:tRNA from 2 species
GCCGGAAUAGCUCAGUCGGUAGAGCAGAGGACUGAAAAUCCUCGUU